rnacentral:rRNA from 1 species
GACGUAGGGCGCGAGCGUUGUCCGGAUUUAUUGGGCGUAAAGAGCUCGUAGGCGGCUCGCUGCGUCGGCUGUGAAAACCCGCAGCUCAACUGUGGGCUUGCAGCUGAUACGGGCGGGCUGGAGUUCGGUAGGGGAGACUGGAAUUCCUGGUGUAGCGGUGAAAUGCGCAGAUAUCAGGAGGAACACCGGUGGCGAAGGCGGGUCUCUGGGCCGAUACUGACGCUGAGGAGCGAAAGCGUGGGGAGCGAACAGG